ensembl:lncRNA
AUGUAGACCACAAACUUUUAUUUCCAACACAUCACAUGAAAAUCCACAGAAAAGGGGAAAAAAUAGCAAACUUUAUAAAACUGAAAAUUGUACCGGUGAAAUCACUUAUCCAGAAAGUCAAAACCCAGGCCAGAAAUGAAGAAAAAAUAUUUGCAAACUACACAUGUGAUAAAGAACUUGUACCUGCAUAAUAUAAAGUGCUAUGAAACAAGCAGCUACGUUAAAAAAAUGGGUACCAGGAGCUUAUUUAACUAAUAUGCAGAGUACAUCAUGUAAAAUGCUGGGCUGGAUGAAACUCAAGCCGGAAUCAAGAUUGCCAGAAUAAAAUUAUCUCAUACGCAGAUGACACCACCCUUAUGGCAGAAAGCAGAGAGAAACUAAAGAGCCUCUUGAUGAAGGUAGAAGAGGAGAGUGAAAAUGCUGGCUUAAAACUCAGCAUUCAGAAAGCUAAGAUCAUGUCAUCCGAUCCCAUCACUUCAUGGCAAACAGAUGGGGAAACAGUGGAAACAUUGACAGACUUGUUUUCUUGGGCUCCAAAAUCACUGUGGAUGGUGACUGCAGCCAUGAAAUUAAAAGAUGCUUGUUCCUUGGAAGAAAAGCUAUGACCAACCUAGACAAUAUAUUAAAAAGCAGAGACAUCUGCUGACAAAGGUUGGUAUAGUCAAAGCUGUGGUUUUUCCAGUAGUCAUGUAUGGAUGUGAGAGUUGGACCACAAGGAAGCCUGAAUUGAUGCUUUCAAACUGUGGUGCUGAAGAAGACUCUUGAGUCCCGUGGACUGCAAGGAGAUCCAAUCAGUCCAUCCUAAAGGAGAUCAGUCCUGGCUGUUCAUUGGAAAGACUGAUGCUGAAGCUGAAGCUCCAAUAUUUAGGCCACCUGAUUCGAAUGAAGAACUGACUCCCUGGAAAAGAUCCUGAUGCUGGGGAAGAUUGAAGGCAGGAGGAGAAGGGGACGACAGAGGAUGAGAUGGUUGGAUGGCAUCACUGAUCAAUGGACAUGAGUUUGAGCAAACUCUGGGAGAUGGUGAUGGACAGGGAGGCCUGGCGUGAUGCAGUCCAGGGGGUUGCAGAGUUGGACACGACUGAGCGACUGAACAGCAGCCAGUGCCUCCACCAUCGCCUCCUCUGGGCCACCUUGCUCUAGAUGUGCCCAGGCGGCUUCGGGAGCCCAGUGUCUCCCGGCUCUCACCUCACCCCAGCGCUGCCCAGGGCUGUUUGUCAGAAACUGUGCUGGUUACAAAGAGAAGAUGCUCCUUCCCCAUGGCCCUCCCAGGGCAAGGGGCACUUUUAAACAGGCACUUCCAGGAUGGGAAGCCACCUGGGCAGAAGCCUUCCAGAACCCGACUCACCUGGGCAGCCCAUGGAGUUUAUCUGGCCUCCCCCAACCAGGCCUCCACAUCUCCCCUCCUCUCCCUCACUCCUGGGCUCCUCUCCUGGGGAGAGUUCUUUUCUUUUUUUAAGAUUCAUUCAUUUAUUUUACUGCUGGCUGUGGUAGGACUUUAUCACUGCACACGAGCCUCCUCUCUGGUUGUCGGGAGUGGGGGCUCCUCCUCGCCAAGGUCAGCGGGCUUCGCAUCGUGGCGCCUUCUCUUGCCUGGAGCUCAGGCUCCAGAUGGGCCAACUUCAGUAGUUGCAGUGCGUGGGUCCCAGCGCACAGGCUCAGCUGCUGGGGCGCAGCCUCACUCUCUCUGAGGCAUGUGGGAUCAUCCUGGCCAGAGAUCACCAGAGAUCGAACUGGUGUCCCAUGCUUUGCAAGGUGGAUUAAUAACCACUGGACCACCAGGAACGCAUGACAGGUCUUCUUGAAAUUGUUUCCCACUUAUAGGCCAGUUAACAUACUUAGCAGACAGACCAGAGCUGCAGCCCCACGUCCAUCCUGACCUUCAGGACACAGCUGGUCCGUGGACUUGGGACAGCAGGGCCCGUUUUCUGUAAAUGAGCCCCUGGUGGGCAAGGAUCGGCUGACCCGGGCAGCGUGACCCAGCUGGCCAGCCCUUCCCAGGUGUGCCUGCUUGAGGCCCUGGUUCCAGGCAGGAGGGCGCCUGCAGCGGUACCAGACAUCACCUUCUCUGCCAUCAGAGGCCGCAGGGCUGGGCUGGCGAGAGGGAAUGAGGGGCCGUGGCGUGUCAGGGGGUCGCCUGCACGGGGCUCUGCUGGGCCUUCUGCAGGAGUUGCUAGGCUGCCACUUGAUAAGGAAGAGGUUGUGUUGCUGGUACCUGCUGUUGGAAGUCUUCCCAGGCAGAGGAGAUCACCGCAGCCCCAUAUAGACCAGCACAGACAGCAGUCAUGUGGGUGGGCAUCUGGGGAGAAGGAGGACCUGGGAAAUACCAAGGCCUGGCUUCAUCAGACGUGAUAUCUCCCACCGUGGGGCCCGUGAGAACAGCCACCCCAUCCUGUCCGUGGAAAGGAGCCCGGUGUCGAGUCCAGCAGGGCUUACCUUGCAAAGCUGGCUCUCCUCGGUGGCACCAUCAAAACCACCAGGCGAUACCCUGUUUUUCCCUGCUGGUGCCAGUUUCUCAAGACUACAUGACCACCCGACCAUGAGACCCCUUUGACUAUGUGACCACAGGACUCCAGCUGUGGGCUAAGGAUAAACCCCUCUGGGGCACAAUUUCCCAUCGAUACGGUAUAAGAAGGGUUGGCUGUAACAAGAGAGCACUGGUUUCUCUCUAAAACCACUUUCUUUCUUCCUAUAAUAAAUAUUUCUCUGCCUGACUGUCCGGCUCACUCUCCUUUUCUCCAUGCUCGCCUUACAGCCAGGACUCAGAGUAGCAAAGUCAGGCCUCAGGAAGAGAAUGGAACCUCAGUGAGAAGCGAGCCGGAACUCACUGAGGUUGUAGCCAUGCCCCGGUGUGGAGUGGAGCCUGGCCUCAGUGAGGUCCAGAGCCGGGACUCAGAGUAGUCAAGUCAAUCCUCAGGAAGAGGGAGAAGAGAACCUCAGUGAGAAGCCAGCUGGGCUCAGUGAGAACCCUAGCCAGACCCCAGUGUGGGUGGAGCCAGUCCUCAGUCAGAGAGAAGCUGGGUCUCACUGAGGAGCAGAGCCAGACCUCAGAGAGGACCCGAGUCCAGUCUCUAUGUGGAGUGUAGCUGGGCCUCAGUGUAGAAUGGAGUCUUGCCUCAGAGAACCAAAUUCCGUCCUCAAGGAGGACCAGGCUGGGCCUGAGUGAAGAGUGGAGGUGAACCUUCACUCUCAGUGAAGGAACGUUGGGCUUCAGUGAGGAGGGUAGCUGAACCACAGUGAGGCCCAGAGCAGGACUCAGUGCUGGAGCUGAAUCUCAGUGAGGCCCAGAGCAGGACUCAGUGCUGGAGCCAGGCCCCGGUGCGGAGCAGAGCCAGGCCUACCUGAGGAGUGGCGCUGGCCCCAAGUGAGGAGGGGAGCCUGGCCUCAGAGUAGCAGUCAGGCCUCACGGAGGUGAACCAAACCUCGGUUAGAAGCAAGCCAAAUCUCUGUGAGGACCAGAGCCGGGGCUCACUAAGGACCUGAGCGUGGACUGGAGCUGUGCUUCACUGAGGACGAUACCGUGGCCUCACCGAGAACCACAGCCAGGCCCAUUGCAGGGCGGAGCUGUGCGGCAGUGCUGAGCGGAGCCAGGCCUCUGCAGGAGGAGCUGGGUCUCACGGAGCGGAGCCGAGCGGAGCCUGGCCUCAGUGCGGACCCUACCCGGGCCCCAGAGCACAUCACAGGACCGGAGUGGAACCUCAGUGAGGACGGGAGACAGGCCUCAGUGGGGACCAGAGCCGGUCCUCAUUGUGGACUGGAGCUGGUUCUCAGUGGAGAGCAGAGCCAGGCCUCAGAGGAGCAAAGUCAUGCCUCAAGGAGGAGCACAGCUGAACUGCAGUGAGAAGACAGCCUGGCCUCUGUGAGGACCGUAACCAGGCCCGUGUGGAGCAGAGCUGUCCUCACCGAGGAGGGAGCCGGACCUCAGGGAGCAAGGGAGGCACACGUGAUUGCGCAGUGGGGCCAGGCCUCACCGAGGACCACAGCCAGGCCCAGUGAGGGGCAGAGCCUUGCCGGGUCUCAGUGCGGAGAGGACCUGGCGUGCUGAGCUGAGCCGAGACUCAGGCAGGGGUGCAGCUGGACUUCAGUGAGGAGCAGAGCCAGCUCUCAGCGUUGAGGUCCGGAGCCAGGCCUCUGUGUGGACCAGAGCCGGGACGUAUGAGUACCGGAACCGGGACUCAGAGUAGCAAAGUCAGGCCUGAGAGAGGUGGAGAAUGGAGCGUCAGUGAGAAGUGAGCUGGGCCUCACUGAUCACCAGAUCUGGACCCCCGUGUGGCAUGGAACCAGGCCUCAGUGCAGGGCCCCACUGAAGACUGGAGUUAGGCCCUAGUGGGGAGCAGAGCCACGUCUUAGUGUGAAGCAGACCCGAGCCUCAGUGAGCUCUGGGGCUGGGCCUCUGUGCAGACUGGAGCUGGGACUCAGAAUAGUAAAGUCAAGCCUCAGGGAUGAGAAGGGAACUUCAGUGAGAAGCGAGCCGGGCUCUGUGAGGAGCAGAGCCGAGUCUCACUGAGGACGGAGCCUCAGGUUUUUCUCCCAAGGGCCCCUCCCAGCAGGUCCUUAGGAAAUCUAGUUACUAGUUAUCCUCCACAUGUAUAC